rnacentral:rRNA from 1 species
GAUGAACGCUGGCGGCGUGCCUAAUACAUGCAAGUCGAGCGAAUGGAUUAAGAGCUUGCUCUUAUGAAGUUAGCGGCGGACGGGUGAGUAACACGUGGGUAACCUGCCCAUAAGACUGGGAUAACUCCGGGAAACCGGGGCUAAUACCGGAUAACAUUUUGAACCGCAUGGUUCGAAAUUGAAAGGCGGCUUCGUCUGUCACUUAUGGAUGGACCCGCCUCGCAUUAGCUAGUUGGUGAGGUAACGGCUCACCAAGGCAACGAUGCGUAGCCGACCUGAGAGGGUGAUCGGCCACACUGGGACUGAGACACGGCCCAGACUCCUACGGGAGGCAGCAGUAGGGAAUCUUCCGCAAUGGACGAAAGUCUGACGGAGCAACGCCGCGUGAGUGAUGAAGGCUUUCGGGUCGUAAAACUCUGUUGUUAGGGAAGAACAAGUGCUAGUUGAAUAAGCUGACACCUUGACGGUACCUAACCAGAAAGCCACGGCUAACUACGUGCCAGCCGCCGCGGUAA